GGAAGGUUGCGGCGAAUGGUAAGCCACAGGUUUGCUAAACCUGCGUCCGAAAGGGCAUGUGGGUUCGACUCCCACACCUUCCGCCA
rnacentral:tRNA from 1 species